ACGACUACAUAUCAGGCAUAUCAAUAAGCGGAGGAAAAGAAACUAACUAGGAUUCCCUCAGUAACGGCGAGUGAAGCGGGAAGAGCUCAAAUUUGAAAUCUUCAAGGUUCUACCUUGACGAAUUGUAGUUUAAAGAAGUGUUUUCUGUUGGAGUUUUGGUAAAAGUUCUUUGGAAUAGGACAUCAUAGAGGGUGAGAAUCCCGUAUUUGACCAUUAUUUCCAGCUUUGUGAUACACUUUCAAAGAGUCGGAUUGUUUGGGAAUGCAGUCCAAAAUGGGUGGUAAAUUUCAUCUAAAGCUAAAUAUUGGCGAGAGACCGAUAGCGAACAAGUACCGUGAGGGAAAGAUGAAAAGAACUUUGAAAAGAGAGUUAAACAGUACGUGAAAUUGUCAAAAGGGAAGCGUUUGACACCAGUGUUGUUUUCUCGAAAAUCAAUUAAAAAAGGCAGGAUUUUGUGUUGUAUUGACUUUAUCAGCUUUCUGCACUCUUUUCUUGUCUUUUUUAAUGCACCUUUCGUUUAACAAGUCAACAUCAAUUUCUUUUGUUGUAAAAGGGUCAUUGGAAGGUGGCUUUCUUUUCGGAGAAAGUGUUUAUAGCCUUUGGCCUCUGCAAUCGGAGAGAUUGAGGUCUGCAGCGUAGAUCCUUCGGGGUUAGAUACAUUUGUGCUAAGUUAUAGCCUUUCAUAGACAACUUGUUGACUAUGAUCAGUCAUGUAGCUUACUCGCUUAUGCUAUUUUACCUACGCUUAGGAUGUUGAGCGCAUGUCUCUCUCU
rnacentral:rRNA from 1 species